rnacentral:rRNA from 1 species
UAUUGCACAAUGGGGGAAACCCUGAUGCAGCCAUGCCGCGUGUGUGAAGAAGGCCUUCGGGUUGUAAAGCACUUUCAGUAGGGAGGAAAGGUAGCAGCUUAAUACGCUGUUGCUGUGACGUUACCUACAGAAGAAGGACCGGCUAACUCCGUGCCAGCAGCCGCGGUAAUACGGAGGGUCCGAGCGUUAAUCGGAAUUACUGGGCGUAAAGCGUGCGCAGGCGGUUUGUUAAGCGAGAUGUGAAAGCCCCGGGCUCAACCUGGGAAUUGCAUUUCGAACUGGCGAACUAGAGUCUUGUAGAGGGGGGUAGAAUUCCAGGUGUAGCGGUGAAAUGCGUAGAGAUCUGGAGGAAUACCGGUGGCGAAGGCGGCCCCCUGGACAAAGACUGACGCUCAGGCACGAAAGCGUGGGGAGCAAACAGGAUUAGAUACCCUGGUAGUCCACGCCGUAAACGAUGUCUACUCGGAGUUUGGUGUCUUGAACACUGGGCUCUCAAGCUAACGCAUUAAGUAGACCGCCUGGGGAGUACGGCCGCAAGGUUAAAACUCAAAUGAAUUGACGGGCCCCCCGU